AUCGCCGUACGCUUUCAGCACACCAUCUCGAAAGUUCAAACACACAACUGAUCCGUAGGGCUCCCAUGUCGCCGCUGUCCCCGCGACAACUCCGCCGCCGCCGUCGCCGCGGCGCUCUCCUCCUGCCCUAAAAUCUCCAGCCGCCGGGCCCGAGAUGGUCCUGCCGCGGCGGCGCGGGGGCCACAACCAUAACCCGUGCCCGUGCCCCUGCCCGCGCCGCGCCGCCCUGCCGCCGGCGGCGCUCCUGCUGCUCUUCCUCCUCGCCGCCGUCGCGCUGCUCUACGUAUCCCCGCCGCCGCUCUCCGACCACCCGGCCCUCGCUUCCUCCCGCCACCGCUCCUCGCAUGCUCUGCUGAACAGCUCUGGCGGCGGCGGCGGCGGCCUACUGGAACCCGCUCGCCGCGAGAUUUCCCGCGUUCCGAGAGGUGGUUGGACUGCAGCAGAUGACCAAUGGGGUUCAAAGCUUGCUAGCAAAUUCUACGGGUGCAGCAACUCCAGCAGCAAAUUCCCUGAUUCAAGUGUUAUAACACACCCAGACCGUUAUUUGAUGAUUGUUACGAGUGGAGGCCUCAAUCAACAGAGAACAGGGAUAAUUGAUGCUGUUGUUGCUGCACGUAUUCUAAAUGCGACACUUGUUGUUCCCAAACUGGACCAGACUUCCUUCUGGAAAGAUGCCAGUGACUUUGCUCAAAUUUUUGAUGCCGACUGGUUCAUCUCAUCUUUAUCAAAGGAUGUGAGGAUCGUGAAAGUGCUUCCAGAGAUAGGAGGUAAAGUGCGGGCUCCUCAUAGAAUGCGUGUGCCCCGAAAGUGCACUCCGCGUUGUUACUUGAACCGUGUGUUGCCUGCACUUCUUAAGAAACAUGUUGUUCGACUAACAAAAUUUGAUUAUAGGCUAGCAAACAGGUUGGAUUCUGACCUGCAGAAGCUGAGAUGCAGAGUAAACUACCAUGCGUUGAGAUUUACUGACCCAAUACAAGAAAUGGGUGAAAAGAUAAUACAGCGAAUGAGGGAGAGGAGCACACAUUUUAUUGCUCUUCAUUUAAGAUUUGAACCUGAUAUGCUUGCCUUUUCGGGGUGCUACUAUGGCGGUGGAGAGAAAGAGAAGAGAGAGCUUGGUGUGAUACGGAAGAGAUGGAAAACCUUGCAUGCUAGCAAUCCAGAGAAAGAAAGAAGGCACGGUAGAUGCCCACUAACCCCUGAAGAGGUGGGGCUGAUGUUGAAGGCACUGGGCUACACAAACGAUGUUCACAUUUAUGUUGCCUCUGGAGAUAUAUAUGGUGGGGAAAGGACAUUAGAACCCCUGAAAGCCCUCUUCCCCAAUCUCCAUACCAAAGAAACAAUAGCAAGCAAAGAUGAGCUGGCUCCAUUCUCAAAAUACGCAUCUCGCAUGGCUGCAUUGGAUUUCAUCGUCUGCGAUGGAAGUGAUGCUUUCGUGACUAACAACAACGGGAACAUGGCCAAAAUUUUGGCUGGCCGAAGGAGAUAUCUUGGGCAUAAGAGAACGAUCCGACCAAACGCUAAAAGGCUGUAUUCUUUAUUUUUGACUAGAGGAAACAUGUCUUGGGAUGCAUUCUCCUCCAAAGUGCACAUGUUCCAGAAAGGGUUUAUGGGAGAGCCCAAAGAGCUCAGGCCAGGAAGGGGGGAAUUCCAUGAGAACCCUUCGACUUGUAUAUGUGAAAAGACCGAUCCCAAAACACUAGCCAAAUCUAACCCUCGAAGCCAGCAAGGCUUGAGUAAUGGUACCGAGGGAGGCAAAGCCACUAGUGAGCCCACAGUUCCUGAUAAUACCGGUGAAGAGCUGGGAGGAUCCGGUGAGGAAGAAGAUGACGCUCCCAUGGAGAAAGAAGAUGACGCUCCUGUGGGGAAAGGAGAUGACGCUCCUGUGGAGAAAGAGGAGAUAGUCGACACUGAAGCGGAGGAUGAUGCGUUGGUCAGACCAGAUGAUCCUGAGCUAGAGGAGGUUCUUUCAGAUUAGACAAGUUAUUAUCCAGGACGUAGAUGUUAACCAGCCGCCGCCACAGUUUUGCAAACUGCAGCUGAGCAUCAUUGUUUAGAGACCUGCGAAGUGUGUGCUUUUCAGCUGCAUAACUGCCAGGUUCAUUUCACCUUCUCUCCAGCCAACUUUUCCUGUGGGUUUUGAGCUGUUAAGUUCGAACUCUCUCCUCGGAGAGAGGCUCUACAAACGCCACACCCAAAAAAACCCCGAGGCCUCGUUUGGUAAGAGUGUACACGAUUUGAGUAUUUGAGAGUGUUUUUUUCAAGUGGAUUGGGUGAAAACACUUCUAUCACCAAAAACACUCUGUUACACCAUAAUCCCCUUUUCCAUCAAUACUACAUAUUGAUUUAUCUGUU